CCUAAACGAGAAAUCCAGAACCUAUGGAUUCAGGGGGGAGUACUGUCGCAAGGCUGAAACUUAAAGGAAUUGACGGAGUGACACCACAAGGUGUGGAGUAUGCGGCUUAAUUUGACUCAACACGGGGAACCUUACCAGGUCAGGACGCAGUUAGGAUUGACAGACUGUGAGCUCUUUCUUGAUCCUGUGGAGGGUGGUGCAUGGCCGUUCUUAGUUCGUGGAUUGGUCUGUCUGGUUAAUUCCGUAAACGAACGAGAACUCUACCUUCCAAUAGACCUUCAUCUCGUUGUAAUGGCUUGUCCUGCGAUGUAGUUUACUAUGUUGUCUGGAGCUUGUCCAGAGAGUUUGAGGUGCUUCUGCAAGGGACUGUGUGACGUCAAGCACACUGAGGUUAGAGUCAACAGCAGGUCUGUGAUGCUCCUAAAUGUCCUGGGCUGCACGCGCACUACACUGGCAAGGACACUUAGCUGAACCAGCUCCGGCUGGUCCUUCUCCGUGAGGAGUGGGUAACCUGUUAACCCUCAAUUAGUCAUGUUUGAGCCGUGUCAGGGAUAGAUGUUUGCAAUUAUCCACCUUGAACGAGGAAUACCUAGUAAGCAUAGGUCAUCAGCCUAUAUUGAUUACGUCCCUGCCACUUGUACACACCGCCCGUCGUUGCUACUGAUGGUAUGGUAACAGAGGCUGGAAGAGAGACGCUUUCUCUCGAGUUGGCUGUCUCAAAUCCAUCCAAUGUUGUCAUGCUAGAAGAAGCAAAAGUCGUAACAAG
rnacentral:rRNA from 1 species